UGGGGAAUUUUGGACAAUGGGGGCAACCCUGAUCCAGCCAUCCCGCGUGUGCGAUGAAGGCCUUCGGGUUGUAAAGCACUUUUGGCAGGGAAGAAACAGCCUGGGCUAAUAUCCCGGGCGACUGACGGUACCUGCAGAAUAAGCACCGGCUAACUACGUGCCAGCAGCCGCGGUAAUACGUAGGGUGCAAGCGUUAAUCGGAAUUACUGGGCGUAAAGCGUGCGCAGGCGGUUCGGAAAGAAAGGUGUGAAAUCCCAGGGCUUAACCUUGGAACUGUACUUUUAACUACCGGGCUAGAGUACGUCAGAGGGGGGUAGAAUUCCACGUGUAGCAGUGAAAUGCGUAGAGAUGUGGAGGAAUACCGAUGGCGAAGGCAGCCCCCUGGGAUGAUACUGACGCUCAUGCACGAAAGCGUGGGGAGCAAACA
rnacentral:rRNA from 1 species